rnacentral:rRNA from 1 species
CUACCAUGCAAGUCGAGCGGGAUAUACCGGUUUAGUUUACUAAGCUGGUAAAUUCAGCGGCGGACGGGUGAGUAACGCGUGAGCAAUCUGCCUUGUACAGGGGGAUAACAGCCGGAAACGGCUGCUAAUACCGCAUAAGGCCACAGUACCGCAUGGUACAGGGGUCAAAGGAGAGAUCCGGUAUAAGAUGAGCUCGCGUUCCAUUAGCUGGUUGGUGAGGUAACGGCCCACCAAGGCAACGAUGGGUAGCCGGCCUGAGAGGGUGAACGGCCACAUUGGGACUGAGACACGGCCCAAACUCCUACGGGAGGCAGCAGUGGGGGAUAUUGCGCAAUGGGGGAAACCCUGACGCAGCAACGCCGCGUGAGUGAAGGAGGCCUUCGGGUCGUAAAACUCUGUGACAGGGGAAGAAGAAAGUGACGGUACCCUGAGAGGAAGCCCCGGCUAACUACGUGCCAGCAGCCGCGGUAACACGUAGGGGGCAAGCGUUGUCCGGAAUUACUGGGCGUAAAGGGUGCGUAGGCGGCCGAGCAAGUCCGAUGUGAAAGACCACGGCUAAACUGUGGGGGUGCAUAGGAAACUGUCCGGCUUGAGUGCAGGAGAGGAAAGUGGAAUUCCUAGUGUAGCGGUGAAAUGCGUAGAGAUUAGGAAGAACACCAGUGGCGAAGGCGACUUUCUGGACUGUAACUGACGCUGAGGCACGAAAGCGUGGGGAGCGAACAGGAUUAGAUACCCUGGU